rnacentral:rRNA from 1 species
CAGCACCUCAAGUGGUCAGGAUGAUUAUUGGGCCUAAAGCAUCCGUAGCCGGCGCUGUAAGUUUUCGGUUAAAUCUGUACGCUCAACGUACAGGCUGCCGGGAAUACUGCAGCGCUAGGGAGUGGGAGAGGUAGACGGUACUCGGUAGGAAGGGGUAAAAUCCUUUGAUCUAUUGAUGACCGCCUGUGGCGAAGGCGGUCUACCAGAACACGUCCGACGGUGAGGGAUGAAAGCUGGGGGAGCAAACCGGAUUAGAGACCCGAGUAGUCC